CUGGCUGCUUCUUCUCGGCACACAGCGCCGCAAGAAUGGCCAAGGCAGCAGCUCCAAGGAAUCCAGAGAGAGCCACUGUUGCUUUAUACUGGGAAACAAGACAACGUAUAGAAAAGCUAGCGAGAAGUGAUCUUCCAGCUCCGAGUGAUCGGCGAGUUUCAAGCAUGUGUCCUUGACUAUGAACCUUUGCAACGAACAUUUUUGGAAAUCGCAAGCAAGCUGUGGACGUUUUCCGUGGCGAUGUUGGCCGCGCACCGACAGUUGGAAGCAUUGCUACAAAUGCUGCACGGCCUUUCACCGUCGGAAAGCUGGCAGCUGUGGCGUCUCGAGGAAAGAAAACGCUGCGACCUCGACCUGUGGGAGAACCAAAACGAGAAUUAGACAUGAUGGCUACGUAAGGAAAGACUAAGCGAGCGAGGCAGCACCAGCUUUACGAUUUUUUAUCUGGACGAGAUCUCUCGCUAGUUCGCUCCAGCUGCUGAAAGAAAGAGAAGAGGAUUUGGAGGGACGGACGGAUGGAUACUUAC